rnacentral:piRNA from 1 species
GCUCUGGUCAGCUGUCUGCCCUU